AUUGGAUUUACCAUUUUUUAUUUUGGGUAGUAGAACUUUUUACUUUUCGUAGUAUAAGGAACAAAUAUUUGUUGGGCUUCACUUAAAAAGUUAUUACGUGUAUAGUCUGUUUAGACAGUGGCAUGAAAACACACUUUCAUAUUAUAUCUCAUUUAUAAUUAGUCUUUCAAAUUCGAUUUCCCACUUGUAAUGAUUAUAAGCUCCUUAUUUCCUCCCCUUAAAAAGCAUGUCUAAUUUGGGUUUGGGUUGAGUAAUAAUAUUAUACUAAUAAUAAAAUUAAUAAAGAAUUCUGUAGUUUGUCAGACUGAAUUCUUUAUUUUUGAGCCUCUGCGACUCUGAUAUUUUUAAUUACUUUGUGGGACCUACUAAUUGAUGGAGAUUCAGUUUCUUUUGGGGUUCAACUCAGCAUGAUUGUGAAGGU
rnacentral:misc_RNA from 1 species